rnacentral:rRNA from 1 species
AACGAACGCUGGCGGCAUGCCUAACACAUGCAAGUCGAACGAGACCUUCGGGUCUAGUGGCGCACGGGUGCGUAACGCGUGGUAACCUGCCCUUAGGUUCGGAAUAACUCCCCGAAAGGGGUGCUAAUACCGGAUAAUGUCUUCGGACCAAAGAUUUAUCGCCUUUGGAUGGGCCCGCGUUGGAUUAGCUAGUUGGUAGGGUAAAAGCCUACCAAGGAGACGAUCCAUAGCUGGUCUGAGAGGAUGAUCAGCCACACUGGGAAUGAGACACGGCCCAGACUCCUACGGGAGGCAGCAGUGGGGAAUAUUGGACAAGGGGCGAAAGCCUGAUAAAGCAAUGCCGAGUGAGAGAUGAAGGCCUUAGGGUUGUAAAGCUCUUUUACCCGGGAUGAUAAUGACAGUACCGGGAGAAUAAGCUCCGGCUAACUCCGUG